rnacentral:rRNA from 1 species
AUACGGAGGGGGCUAGCGUUGUUCGGAAUUACUGGGCGUAAAGCGCACGUAGGCGGCGUAUCUAGUCAGAGGUGAAAGCCCUGGGCUCAACCCAGGAAUUGCCUUUGAUACUGGUAUGCUUGAGUCCGGGAGAGGGUAGUGGAAUUCCCAGUGUAGAGGUGAAAUUCGUAGAUAUUGGGAAGAACACCAGUUGCGAAGGCGGCUACCUGGCCCGGAUCUGACGCUGAGGCGCGAAAGCGUGGGGAGCAAACAGGAUUAGAAACCCCAGUAGUCC